UCGAUGAAAACGAGGCGAGACUCGAAAGUUUAUGUGAAUUGCAGCCACGUUGAACAUAGAAAUUUUGAACGCACAUUGCGGUGUUGAGUUGACUCGACGCCGCGUCUGUCUGAGGGUCG
rnacentral:rRNA from 1 species